CCUGGCUCAGGACGAACGCUGGCGGCGUGCCUAAUACAUGCAAGUCGAACGAACCGCGACUAAGUGCUUGCACUAAGUCAAGGUGAGUGGCGAACGGGUGAGUAACACGUGGGUAACCUACCUCAUAGUGGGGGGUAACAGUCGGAAACGACUGCUAAUACCGCAUAGGACAUAGGAUCACAUGAUCCAGUGAGGAAAGGUGGCGCAAGCUAUCGCUAAGAGAUGGACCCGCGGUGCAUUAGCUAGUUGGUAGGGUAAAGGCCUACCAAGGCGAUGAUGCAUAGACGACCUGAGAGGGUGAUCGGCCACAUUGGGACUGAGACACGGCGCAAACUCCUACGG
rnacentral:rRNA from 1 species